GCACAAGCAGUGGAGUAUGUGGUUUAAUUCGAAGCAACGCGAAGAACCUUACCAGGUCUUGACAUCCGAUGCAUAGUGCAGAGAUGCAUGUAGUCCUUCGGGACGCAGAGACAGGUGGUGCAUGGUUGUCGUCAGCUCGUGUCGUGAGAUGUUGGGUUAAGUCCCGCAACGAGCGCAACCCUUACUGUCAGUUACUACGCAAGAGGACUCUGGCAGGACUGCCGUUGACAAAA
rnacentral:rRNA from 1 species